GACGAACGCUGGCGGCGUGCCUAACACAUGCAAGUCGAACGGAACUGUUUUGAAAGAUUUCUUCGGAAUGAAUUUGAUUUAGUUUAGUGGCGGACGGGUGAGUAACGCGUGAGUAACCUGCCUUCAAGAGGGGAAUAACAUUCUGAAAAGAAUGCUAAUACCGCAUGACAUAUCGGAACCACAUGGUUUUGAUAUCAAAGAUUUUAUCGCUUGAAGAUGGACUCGCGUCCGAUUAGUUAGUUGGUGAGGUAACGGCUCACCAAGACCGCGAUCGGUAGCCGGACUGAGAGGUUGAACGGCCACAUUGGGACUGAGACACGGCCCAGACUCCUACGGGAGGCAGCAGUGGGGGAUAUUGCGCAAUGGGGGCAACCCUGACGCAGCAACGCCGCGUGAAGGAUGAAGGUUUUCGGAUUGUAAACUUCUUUUAUUAAGGACGAAAAAUGACGGUACUUAAUGAAUAAGCUCCGGCUAACUACGUGC
rnacentral:rRNA from 1 species